CUUGCACUGGGUGGAUGAGUGGCGAACGGGUGAGUAAUACGUGAGUAACCUGCCCUUGACUCUGGGAUAAGCCUGGGAAACUGGGUCUAAUACUGGAUAUGACCUCCUGUCGCAUGGUGGGGGGUGGAAAGGGUUUGUACUGGUUGUGGAUGGGCUCACGGCCUAUCAGCUUGUUGGUGGGGUAAUGGCCUACCAAGGCGACGACGGGUAGCCGGCCUGAGAGGGUGACCGGCCACACUGGGACUGAGACACGGCCCAGACUCCUACGGGAGGCAGCAGUGGGGAAUACUGCACAAUGGGCGCAAGCCUGAUGCAGCGACGCCGCGUGAGGGAUGACGGCCUUCGGGUUGUAAACCUCUUUCAGCACGGAAGAAGCGAAAGUGACGGUACGUGCAGAAGAAGCGCCGGCUAACUACGUGCCAGCAGCCGCGGUAAUACGUAGGGCGCAAGCGUUGUCCGGAAUUAUUGGGCGUAAAGAGCUCGUAGGCGGUUUGUCGCGUCUGCUGUGAAAGCCCGGGGCUUAACCCCGGGUGUGCAGUGGGUACGGGCAGACUUGAGUGCAGUAGGGGAGACUGGAACUCCUGGUGUAGCGGUGAAAUGCGCAGAUAUCAGGAAGAACACCGAUGGCGAAGGCAGGUCUCUGGGCUGUUACUGACGCUGAGGAGCGAAAGCAUGGGGAGCGAACAGGAUUAGAUACCCUGGUAGUCCAUGCCGUAAACGUUGGGCACUAGGUGUGGGGGACAUUCCACGUU
rnacentral:rRNA from 1 species